UCCCUCUUAGCUCAGUGGUAGAGCGCGUCACUAGUACCUCCACCUAGGUAUAUGACGAGGUCAGUCGUUCAAGUCGGCUAGAGGGAA